rnacentral:lncRNA from 1 species
AUUAUAUUUUAUGAGGUUUAUAAGAGAAUACAAUAUAAAAACCAUGUGCCUAUGGCUGAUUAGCCAUUUCAGCCAUCCCCACCUUACCACCGUCACUGCUGAUGCUACAUCAUGCAAGAAGAGAGAGUGGAGGACUUCCGGUCAAGAUGGCGGCUUAGAGAGAGCUAAAGUUCAGAUCUCCGGAAACCCUUCCUUACUGAUCUCAAACUGUAUGCUCCUAGGGCACCGAUACUCAAAACAAACAACAGGAUAGAUCCCGGGAACCCUCCUCCUGGACCUGGAUCAAAAGGUACAGCCCCCCAAAAGCCAGAACCCGAGAUCACUCAGAUCUAAGGGGUAGGCAGAAGGAAGGUCCCAGGACCCAUCCCCCCGACCCAGAGUGCUGAGUCCGAGGCAGCAGCAGGAACCUAAGAGCCAGCAAACGGACCUCAGGGCCAGCUAUUCUGAAGACCGCAUCCUGAAAACAACCUGAGCCAGUUGUGCCAAAUUUCAAAGCUUCCAAGCAAAAGAAAAAAUCUUACAAGAAGCCAGAAAAAGACAAUUUAGAUAUAAAGUAAUGCCCAUUAGGGUCACACAAGACCUUGCAAGUUCCACUCUGAAUGACCGUAAGGCAUGGAACAUGAUUUUCAGAAAGGCAAGAGAGCUGGGUCUUCAACCAAGAAUCAGCUACCCAGCAAAACUGACUAUAUACUUCCAAGGGAAAGUAUGGGCAUUCAACAAAAUAGAAGAUUUCCAAGUUUUUGCAAAGAAAAGACCAGAGCUCUGUGGAAAGUUUGAUACCGAAAAACAAAGAGCAAGGAAUACCUGAACAGAUGAGUGUGCACAAAGACACGUGUGCAUGAAGGAGAUUUAAGUGGAAAAGUCAAUGCACAGAGACAGGCCCACUCUCUCAGCAUUGGAAGCCUGGGUCCAGUGGCACAAAAAGUCAUUACACCUGGAGACUCUCUAAGCUGCAUUGGAUGGCCGUGUUGUCCUUUGUGCUCCAACAUGCCCUGAGCACUCCACAGUGCUUUGCUGCAUCGCCCUCUCAGCCAUUGAACCUUCUUGUUGGUUUCUUCUGCCUGUUUCACCAAAGUAGUCUUCACAUGUUGGAAGAGGUCACUAAGAUUCAGAAGGUUGUAGAAGGUGAUGACUGUCAUUUUAUAUUUUUUCCAUCAACAAGACCUCUUUGGAAAGAAAUAUAUAUAUAUAUAUAUAUAUAUAUACAUAUACAUGAAAGUUAAUUGGUUUGGACUUCAUGGAUUUGACCCAAGACUGUAUAAAGAAGUGUAGGUAUGGAGGCACAUCUGAAUUUAAUAAUUUAAAAAUAUUGAUAGCCUUACUAAUAAAGGGUGAAAUCGUUU